GGGCGGUUAGCUCACUUGGUAGAGCGCAACAUUGACGUUGUUGAGGUAACAGGUUCGAUCCCUGUACCGCCCACCA
rnacentral:tRNA from 2 species